rnacentral:rRNA from 1 species
AAACAUGAGAGUUUGAUCCUGGCUCAGGACGAACGCUGGCGGCGUGCCUAACACAUGCAAGUCGAGCGAAGGGAGUACUACGGUACGAACUUAGCGGCGGACGGGUGAGUAACGCGUGGACAAUCUACCCUGUAGACUGGGAUAACACCUCGAAAGGGGUGCUAAUACCGGAUAAUGUCGAGAAGCGGCAUCGCUUUUCGAAGAAAGGAG